GACGAACCGUACGAACGUUAUUCGGAAUCACUGGGCUUAAAGGGUGCGUAGGCGGCAGGGUAAGUUUGAUGUGAAAUCUCCGAGCUUAACUCGGAAACUGCAUUGAAUACUAUUCUGCUCGAGGUUUGGAAGGGGGACUGGAAUUCUCGGUGUAGCAGUGAAAUGCGUAGAUAUCGAGAGGAACACCAGUGGCGAAGGCGAGUCCCUGGACAACACCUGACACUGAGGCACGAAAGCUAGGGGAGCAAACAGG
rnacentral:rRNA from 1 species